GACGAACGCUGGCGGCGUGCUUAACACAUGCAAGUCGAACGGAAAGGCCCUGCUUGCAGGGUACUCGAGUGGCGAACGGGUGAGUAACACGUGGGUGAUCUGCCCUGCACUUCGGGAUAAGCCUGGGAAACUGGGUCUAAUACCGGAUAGGAGCCAUUUUUAGUGGGAUGGUUGGAAAGUUUUUUCGGUGUAGGAUGAGCUCGCGGCCUAUCAGCUUGUUGGUGGGGUAAUGGCCUACCAAGGCGGCGACGGGUAGCCGGCCUGAGAGGGUGGACGGCCACAUUGGGACUGAGAGACGGCCCAGACUCCUACGGGAGGCAGCAGUGGGGAAUAUUGCACAAUGGGCGCAAGCCUGAUGCAGCGACGCCGCGUGGGGGAGGACGGCCUUCGGGUUGUAAACUCCUUUCGCUAGGGACGAAGCUUUUUGUGACGGUACCUAGAGAAGAAGCACCGGCUAACUACGUG
rnacentral:rRNA from 1 species